UGUAGACGUAACCCUUUGAUUACGUAAGGGUUUUUGUUUAAACUCUUUGGGUGGGUGCUGGAUGGACCUUUGGAAUACAAAAGUAUUAUGAGUAGAACCUCUGUCGGUGGGUUCUAGGUGUAUACAACUGACUGCCAACCCACUUCAGGAACCGCUCAUUGGGCGCUCUUGUUGGAACCUUUUACGGAUGGUUCUAAAAAGGACCAUCUAUGUUUGGCUCUAGGAAGAACCCUGGAAAAGCAUUCCUGUCGUUACAUUUAUCAGGAACCAAGAAGGGUUCUCCUUUGGGGACAAGCUAAAGAACACUUCAUGCUCUACCAUGGCAACAGCACAACAUAUCGGCAACCACAGGACCACACUGCGGCCGCUGGCACUGCCAGAGUUGUGCCAAAGACUAAUCCGUGCCAGAGGUGACAUGGGCAAAGGGAAAGUGAGAUGGGUGGAGACAGCAUGACACACACAUGCAAAAUCACACACACACAGGGACAGACGUGUACGGACAGACAUGCCAGCGCUUCACUCUCUCCUCUCUUACAGCACAAGCGCACUGGAUAUCCUGCUAUUCUUCUUGGCUGGAGCCUCCCAUGGCGAUAGCAGUAGGAAUCCAUUCUCCACGGAUGCUGGGACAGCUGCGCUGAUAUUGAAUGAGACGCAGUUGGUUCUGCCUCGCUCUCUGCAUGUGGCUCGAGAUAAAAAACUACAUGCCACUUAAUUCAAAUCUACCCCGCCUGCUGCCAAAAUGCACACCGGCUCAUCCCGUCUUUGUCCUCGCCACCGACGAGAGCUCCCCAUUUCUUUUUUCGCAAGAAUUGCUGUAAAUUCAAGCGUGCUGACGCAUGGUGGCCCCAAGCUGACCGGAAAAAAUCCGGAGAAACGCAUCAAUCCCAGAAGGCUCCAUAAGCCCUAUAUAUGCUCCAAAAGCAAAUAAUCCACAACAUGCUACAGAUUUUGCCGCAAAAAAUAACAAAAAGUGACAUUUGACAUUGUGAGGUGAGUUAGCUUGGAUACCUUGUCUCAGAACACAACCAUCCAACAGAAAAUGGCCACAUUAAAGAAGCCGAGCCACAGUUCUUAAUGAUGGCAGUUUUUUUCUGCAGUAAGUUGGCCUGUAACUUGCUGCGUGCUAUGAAUGAAUAAGUAAAAGGAACGUGAUGUCCCAGGCAAGCGUAUGGCGCCGUGACCUCACGGCGUCCCGCGAUGAGGGGAGAAGCACCGGCACAAAACAGCAGCGCGGCCAAUCGAAUGACUCCGGUUUCACCGCCGUGCCCUCCAGACAUGAGCACACAACUCGGUUACAAGCGAGGACAAUAGAUCCGCCCCGCUUGUCAAUCAAGCGCACUAUGAGUUCAUUCUUCAGUCUGGUGUGCGAGAGCAGAGUGCUCUACUGGCUCGCUUUUAUAAACUUAUUUUUGUUGUGGGGCACCGGUGAGUUACACUGGUAUCCCAUAUAUUUAUAAUUAAGUCAAUUAAAUUAAUGUUUUCUCAAAA
ensembl:lncRNA